UAAGCGGAGGAAAAGAAACUAACAAGGAUUCCCCUAGUAACGGCGAGUGAAGCGGGAAGAGCUCAAAUUUGUAAUCUGGCACCUUCGGUGUCCGAGUUGUAAUCUCGAGAAGUGUUUUCCGCGCCGGACCGCAUACAAGUCUGUUGGAAUACAGCGUCAUAGUGGUGAGAACCCCGUAACUGAUGCGGAUGCCCGGUGCUUUGUGAUACACUUUCGAAGAGUCGAGUUGUUUGGGAAUGCAGCUCAAAUUGGGUGGUAAAUUCCAUCUAAAGCUAAAUAUUGGCGAGAGACCGAUAGCGAACAAGUACCGUGAGGGAAAGAUGAAAAGCACUUUGGAAAGAGAGUUAACAGUACGUGAAAUUGUUGGAAGGGAAACGCUUGAAGUCAGACUUGCUAUUUGGAGUUCAGCCGCAAGGUGUAUUCUUCAAUUUGCAGGCCAGCAUCAGUUUUUGGGGGUGGAAAAGGGUAUUGAGAAGGUAGCAGUUUCGGCUGUGUUAUAGCUCUUUACUGGAUUCAUCCUUGGGGACUGAGGAACGCAGCACGCUUUUUGCAAGGCUCUCGGGCUUUUCGUGCUUAGGAUGCUGGUGGAAUGGCUUUAAACGACCCGUCUUGAAACACG
rnacentral:rRNA from 2 species